rnacentral:ncRNA from 1 species
AUAUUAUUUUAUUUUGGUUAAUAUUUUUAUUAUUAUUUUAUUUUACAUGUAAAUUUUUGUGUGAAUUUAUUUAAUUUUUAAAAAAUUAUUUAAUAAUUUUAUUCGCAGUGAUUGAUAUUAAUAUAAAAAAGAAAUUUUGUAUUAGUAAUAAUAUAUAGUAUUGGUAAAAUUUGUGCCAGCUACCGCGGUUAUACAAAUAAUACAAAUAAAAAUUUUUAGUAGUAGUUAAAUUGAUCAAAUUUUAAUAUAAAUAUAAAUUUAUUAGGUGAAAUUUUUAAAUUUAUUUAUUAUUAAUUUAAAAAAUAAUUUAAGCUAUAAACUUUUUAUAAUAAACUAGGAUUAGAUACCCUAUUAUUAAAAAUAAAUAUGAGCAUACUAAAGUAGUAUUAGUUAUAUUCUUAAAAUUUAAAAAAUUUGGCGGUAUUUUAGUCUAUUCAGAGGAAUCUGUCCUGUAAUUGAUAGUCCACAUUGAACCUUACUUAAAUUUGUUUAAUUUGUAUAUCGCCGUCAUCAGAAUAUAUUAUAAGAUAAAAUUUUCUUAAUAUUUAAUAAAAUAAUAUGUCAGGUCAAGGUGCAGUUUAUAUUUAAGUAGAGAUGGAUUACAAUAAAUUUAUUUAAUAUGGAUUAUUUUUUGAAAUAAAAAUUUGAAAGUGGAUUUGAAAGUAAUAUAAAAUAGAUUAUUUAUAUGAUUUUAGCUCUAAAAUAUGCACAUAUCGCCCAUCGUUCUUAUUUUUAAAAUAAGAUAAGUUGUAACAUAGUAGAUGUACUGGAAAGUGUAUCUAGAAAGAC